CUGGAGCCAGCCCUGCUGUAGGUACGGGAAGGGGCGUUUGACGUUUCGAUUGAGUGUAGCAAAAUGGCGCUGAAAGCCGUGGUUGGACAAAAAAUUAUGAAUGAAGUCAUUCGUAACAAGAAAAAGGGACAAGGUAUUGAGUGGCGAGUUCUAGUUGUUGAUCAGCUUGCCAUGAGGAUGGUGUCAGCAUGCUGUAAAAUGCAUGAAAUAUCUGCUGAAGGUAUCACAAUUGUGGAGGAUAUAAAUAAAAAGAGAGAACCUCUGUCUACAAUGGAGGCCGUGUACUUGAUCACACCAAGUGAAAAAUCUGUACACGCAUUAAUGCAGGACUUCGCCAGUCCUAAUCGCACCAUGUAUCGUGCUGCCCAUGUGUAUUUCACUGAAGCAUGCCCAGAGGAGCUGUUUAACAAAUUGUGUCGUGCAACUGUUGCGAAGUUCAUAAAAACUUUGAAGGAAAUUAAUAUUGCAUUUGUAGCAUACGAGGAACAGGUAUUUUCUCUGGAUUCACCUGAUACAUUUCAAUGCUUCUACAAUCCCUCAUGUGCUGGUGGUCGAAAUGCAAACAUGGAACGUAUUGCUGAACAAAUAGCAACCUUGUGUGCUACUCUUGGAGAGUACCCGUCAGUCAGAUAUCGAUGUGAUUUUGACAAGAAUGUUGAAUUAGCCCAACUAGUUCAACAGAAAUUAGAUGCAUAUAAGGCAGAUGAACCUACAAUGGGUGAAGGACCAGAAAAAGCUCGUUCCCAGCUUUUGAUUUUGGAUAGAGGAUUCGACUGUGUCUCACCAUUACUUCAUGAACUAACACUGCAAGCAAUGGCAUAUGAUUUACUACCAAUAGAAAAUGAUGUCUACAAGUAUGAAGCAACAGCAGGGGCACCAGAAAAAGAGGUGCUGCUGGAUGAAAAUGAUGAAUUGUGGGUUGAGCUCAGACAUCAACACAUUGCUGUUGUUUCACAGAAUGUUACAAAGAAUCUCAAGAAGUUCAUUGAUUCCAAACGAAUGCCACAGGGUGAUAAGCAGUCAAUGAGGGACCUAUCACAGAUGAUAAAGAAGAUGCCACAAUACCAGAAAGAGUUAAGCAAGUACUCAACACAUCUUCACUUGGCUGAAGACUGUAUGAAAGCUUAUCAAGGCUAUGUAGACAAACUGUGCAAAGUAGAACAGGAUCUUGCAAUGGGCACUGAUGCAGAAGGAGAGAGGAUAAAAGAUCACAUGCGAAAUAUAGUGCCUGUGCUUCUUGAUCAAGGUGUGACGAAUUAUGAUAAAAUGCGUAUUAUUCUGCUUUAUAUAAUAUCAAAGAAUGGCAUAAGUGAAGAGAACCUUAACAAACUUGUCCAACAUGCUCAAAUUAAUCCAUCUGAAAAGCAGACCAUUAUUAAUAUGGCCAACUUGGGUGUUAAUGUUGUUGUUGAUGGGACACGCAAGAAAUUCUACCAGGUUCCCCGGAAAGAACGUAUUACUGAACAAACAUACCAAAUGUCACGUUGGACACCAGUCAUCAAGGACAUAAUGGAAGAAUGUAUUGAAGAUAAAUUGGAUCCAAAACAUUUUCCAUUUUUGGCAGGAAGAGCUGCUCCAUCUGGCUACCAUCCACCAACAAGUGCAAGGUAUGGCCAUUGGCAUAAAGAUAAAGGUCAACAAGCUGUAAAGAAUGUUCCUCGUCUAAUUGUCUUCAUUGUUGGUGGUGUGUGCUUCUCAGAAAUACGCUGUGCUUAUGAAGUAACCAACACUGUAAAGAACUGGGAAGUCAUUAUUGGCUCUUCUCACAUUAUGACGCCAGAGGACUUCCUCAGUAAUCUUACGAAUUUGAGCUAAUCUGUUAGCACAGUAUAUCUAGCCUGCCCAAAAAGGUUAGCAUGUGUGUUUCUGCCGAAAUAGGAACUUUAUGUUGAUGGGGUGAAAAGUCACCAGAUCUAUCAAUAUUAUGUGAAAGAUAAAUGUAAUUCCAGUGUUAGGAUUUGUACUCAAGUCUGUAUUGUAGUCAGUUGCCUUAAAACAAGAGCUCUGUAGCUCUUGUUGCAUUUAUCAUAUUAAAGUAUUUUUUAAGAUAGCAUACAAGUUUGUAAAAAAUUCUUGUAAUUCAUAAUUUGUGUGUGUGUGUAAAAUAUUUAGAUAACAUAAUUAUGCCAUAUACUGGCUCAUUAAUGAAAGGAAAGAAAGCUUAUAGAUAUACCAGUAUGAAUUACUUGGAUUGUAAGAUUGCUAGAAAAAAUGCCUUCAAGCAAAAUGUAGGAACUUUCAGACUUAUUUAAGUGUCCUUUUGUGCAGAGGCAGUUAAUGAAUAGUAGAGUUUGUCUUCUGCAAAGCAAAUGUCCCUUUAACCUCUCUGGUCUUUUGGGCAUUCUGACUAUAUUAACUAAAAAGCAGAAUGUGAUAACUUCCAUCUUGCUGUCAUUUUAAUGUAUGCAUUCUUAAUAAUGUAAUGUGUUUCUGAAAACACUUUCAAUAAGAUGAUCUGUAUGUUGUUUGAGAAUGACAUAGUCAACUUAAAUUGUUCCUUUACCAGAGGACCAAACUGUGUUAAAGAGAGACGUUCAAAAUCUUCCAUUUUCAAUAAACACCAUAGUUUUAAUAAUAGUUUUUCAAAGUUAUACUAUUUAAAGAGUGGAUUCUUUGCACAGCAAUAACUACUUAUAAGACUAAGAGGAUAAGCCUGUGUUGCUUCACUAGUACAAUAAUUGUAAGUAGAUUAUUAUUCAAACAUUUUAAAUUGCAGAUUCAUGUAAAAGCACAUUUUGUAGCUAGAUCUUCAUUUCUGUAUUGAUUAUUUCUGUCUUCAUGAGACUGCAUUUUCCUGAAGUGUCAAAUUUUUUGAGAAGCAAUGUCACAAAUCUUUCUGCCUUAUAUGUAAGCUUGUUAAUUCAUAACUGUUAUUCGAUAUAGUGUUCAGUAAAACUUGGAUGUGCUCCAGAAUCUGUAAAUUAACUGUUUCCAUAAUAGUCUUUAGUGUUGUUGUAAUACCCAUUUUUUGACAUCGAAUAUUUUUAUCUAACUUCUUAAAAAUUUGUCUUACAACUACAGAGACAUUAUUUUUUAUUAAUAUUUCAUCAUGAUUUAUUUGGACAGUAAAAUAUGUUAAUAACUUUAUAAGCAAUACUGUGAUAGUGUAUGUUUGUGUUGAAAUGUUUGAGUUAGUGGGAAAUAAUAAACGAUGUUAUGCUUCUGCCUGUUUGGGAAUAUGUUGUCAGUCUCAUAUUUUGCAGGCAGACUUAAGUGCUGUAGUUACCUGAUUGACAGUUUAUUAGGCACACAAUUUUAUGUGAAACUUUUGUAAAUCUUCAAUAAGAAAAGGAAUAUGAAAGUUCUUCUUAAACACCAAUAUAUACUAGAGAAUUGGCUAAGCAUCAAGCAGUGGUAUUAUUGCUUGCCAUAUAAUUUAGGCAGUUGCCAUAUAAAUAAAAUUUGUGGAAUACCAUAGUAUGUACUUACAUACACAAGUACUGUAUUUUUAUUGAAACAAAAAGUGAACAGGUAUGUAAAAUGAGCUCCAGCUGGAAUGCUGGUUAUUGAUCUUUAUUUUUAAAAAAUUCUGGAUUGCUAUUUGGAAGUGCUGUCCCCCAUGUGUGGUUCUUGCACACUGCUAGACAAGAUUGAUUUAACAAACCUUUGUACCGUAUGAAAACUAAGAAGGCUACUUAAAGAAACAUUAAACUAAAAUUUGAGAUAACCUGAAGUAAGUCUGGGAAUUAGUGUUUAAGCUAUCCCUGUAGUCCCCCCCCCCUCCCUCCAUCACCAGAAAAAAAAGAAAAGGGGAAAAAAAAUUACUGCCUAAACUUUCCUUCUUCCCCAUCUGCACUACAGUGUAUGUGUGAGCGUGCGCAUGCAUGCAUGCAUGCACGCAUGCAUGCACAUGCAUUUGAGAUCAUCUGUAAAGAAGUACAGCAUAUUUAAAGUGGGGCAUUGGGUAGUGCCAAGUCAGUAGGCUUUAGUAUGGAAGAAGGGCAUUUAAAUCUAUGACAUUGCUAUAUUUUUAGUGCAUUCGGGGAGUAUUCCUUUUAAUUGCAAGUUAUAAUUUAUUUAAAAAGCUGUAUUUGAAAACAUUUGCUUAGAGCUAGUUGAAUAGACAUGUAAUUGACUUUAUCAACAAUAAAGUCAUGUUAAUAACUAUAUAAUUUAUACCUACACAUUCCAGUUAAAAACAUUGAAAAAAAUAUGUAUGUAGUAUAGUUUAAUGAGAGAUUAUUUUCUAUUUAUGGUUGUUUCACCAAGCACUGUUUUAAGUUGCCAUUAAAUUAUUGGUGGAUGAAAAGUUUUAUUUACUUCAAAAGUUUUUUCAGUAGUGUUAGUUUUAAAUAUAUUUAUUUAUUUUUACAAGUUAGCAGAUAAAUUAAUAAAAGACACAGUUAAAGUGGUUGUUAAAUUUCCAUGUAUUUCACAUCUUGAAUCCUCUUUCAUGUUUGUAAUGUCUGGAUGCAUAAAAAUUUCUCAUCUUGACCAUGUUUCUGACAAAUCUGCCAAUCGUGGGUCUUAAGGGUAUGCCAUGUUCUCAUUCAAUUUGUGGUGAGUAUGAAUAUAUGAAGAGGAAGCGUGCACGAGCCACACCUUUUCAGUUGAAGGCAAUUUUGGAAGAAAAAGACAUUAUUGUUACCAAAUGACAUACAUCACAGUAGGAGUUGAAACGUACAGUGCAAUGCUAUCCCAUUAUAUUAUAUCGUUGUUGUUGUUGAUGUUGUUAUUGUUGCUGAUGUUGUUAUUGUUGGUAAUUUAGACCAAAUCUCCUUAAGUGUUUAACUGAUGUGGCCUGUCAAAGAAGAAAUGUUGAUUUUCCUAUUAAUUAAUUAUUUUUGUUAAUGUAUUGAACAGAUUUUGCAAAAGAAAUGAAAUGUUACAAAACUGACCCAGCAUAAUUUUCUCAGACAUUUUGUUGCCUUGUGUUGUUAGUGCGAUAGUAAUGUUACAAUGUAUGUAUUUUCCUUAAUGUAUUAUAAAGCAUUGUAGACUAUAGAUAAUAUAGUAAUGUUGACAUAUUGAUAUAUAUAGCUUCUUCAGAUAGAGCAAAUUCAUAUUUUCAUAUUUGCUUUCAUGUGACCAAACACACACUUCUCAUUAUCAUGAGAGUUUUAAUGCAAACUAACAAUUGUUAAUGUGUAAGAAAUACAUUGAAACUUAGAAAUACGGGUCAUUUGGAACUAGUGAGCACAUAGUGUAAAUUCAAUAAAUUUUUAAUGCAUUUUUAUAACAUUUUCUUGUACUGUUGCUGUGUUCGAUUUUUACAUAAAUAUUGCCUAGUACAAAUUUGAUUUCAAAAAAGUGUCUUAAGAUUUUAAAAGAUUGGAAAGGUGGAAGACAUGAUUAGUUUCAUUUUUACAUAGUUAUGAAUGUCAUUUUUGUCUUUUUCUAUCUAAUACAUUUCAUUGAUGCUGUUUUGUUGAAUGCAGCCUUUGUAAGUGAUGCAAAGGAUUCCUUACCUAACACACUUGAUCUUUCUGCAUGUAACAGCAUUCAUCUCUUU